GAAAGAUGAAAAGAACUUUGAAAAGAGAGUUAAACAGUACGUGAAAUUGUCAAAAGGGAAACGCUUGAAACCUAAUAAUAGUAGUUGACCUGGACAGACUGUCCCAGCGAACAGUGCUUCCCAGAUAGUGGUACAACGAGGCACUCAAGGUUUCCAGACAGUGGUUGAACGAGGCACUUGGGAUGCAUUUGGGAGGAACAUUUCUUUUUUGCUCACAGUCAGAGAAGCUAAAAACAAAUUCACAAAAGUUGCUGGCGAAAACUGCGUUCAAGGCUGCGCUGCGCUGCGUCGUUACGUUGCUUCUUUUUUUCCUGCUACAGUUGAUCAGUCUGUAGAAACAACGACCCCUCCAAACAGAAAGGGUCCCAUCAACAGCCAAUAAUACACUAUAUUCGAGCAGCCAGUCUUCACAUUG
rnacentral:ncRNA from 1 species